rnacentral:rRNA from 1 species
GACGAACGCUGGCGGCGUGCUUAACACAUGCCAGUCGAACGGAAAGGCCCUGCUUUUGUGGGGUGCUCGAGUGGCGAACGGGUGAGUAACACGUGAGUAACCUGCCCUUGACUUUGGGAUACUUCAGGAAACUGGGGCUAAUACCGGAUAGGAGCUCCUGCUGCAUGGUGGGGGUUGGAAAGUUUCGGCGGUUGGGGAUGGACUCGCGGCUUAUCAGCUUGUUGGUGGGGUAGUGGCUUACCAAGGCUUUGACGGGUAGCCGGCCUGAGAGGGUGGCCGGCCACAUUGGGACUGAGAUACGGCCCAGACUCCUACGGGAGGCAGCAGUGGGGAAUAUUGCACAAUGGGCGGAAGCCUGAUGCAGCAACGCCGCGUGCGGGAUGACGGCCUUCGGGUUGUAAACCGCUUUCGCCUGUGACGAAGCGUGAGUGACGGUAAUGGGUAAAGAAGCACCGGCUAACUACGUG